CAGUGACCCAUUUAACGGCCGCGGUAUCCUAACCGUGCGAAGGUAGCGUAAUCACCUGUUUUUUAAUUAAAGACCCGUAUGAAAGGCACCACGAGAAUCACACUGUCUCCUAUUUUCAAUCAGUGAAACUAAUCUUCCUGUGAAAAAGCAGGAAUAAUUAUACAAGACGAGAAGACCCUUUGGAGCUUUAGACACAUGAUGACCUACUUCCACCAACAAAUGAACUCAUCUCUAGUCUUCGGUUGGGGCAACCACGGAGAAAAACAUAACCUCCGAGAUGAAUUUAUCUAACAAAAGCCACAACUUUAACUAUCAAAACUGACAUCAAUUGACCCAACACUUUGAUCAACGAACCAAGUUACCCAAGGGAUAACAGCGCAAUCCACUUUAAGAGUCCAUAUCGACAAGUGGGCUUACGACCUCGAUGUUGGAUCAAGAUAUCCCAGUGGUGCAGCCGCUACUAAUGGUUCGUUUGUUCAACGAUUAAAAUCUCACGUGAU
rnacentral:rRNA from 1 species